AACGGCAGUGCCUUCUAGACGGCAACAGUAGUAGUGGCCACUUCAAAUCGUGUCUGCAUUGCAAUGGCAUUCACAGCCAAAACACUCAGUCUCCUGAUUCUGCUGUUGGUUGUUUUCCAUAGAGACCAAGUAUUGGGUUUGUCGGCCUCCGGGGUUGGCGGCAGCUAUUGCAGCUGUGUGAACAACGCCAAAAACUUGCCCUGGGCGAAGAUAAGAGAAUUCAACCUCACUGACAAAAACGAUGUAUGCAAUACCCAGAUAACAGUCCGAAUGGCGUCUGGAGAUAUGUUUUGUGUUGAUCCCGAUCAGCCGCUGGGUAAACACUUUCAAACCUGCUGGAAAAGGAUCAAACGUAUGGAGAUAUUAAAACCCCGGUGUCUUUUCAACCAGACGAGAAAAGAUUUACGUCCGAAGAAGUUAACAAAUGUUGGGGACGUUGGGAAGAAACUACAGAAGAAGAACAAAACAUCACACAAGAAAUAACAUGUAACAGUUUGUUACACCUAUUGUUGCAAAAGCUCAACACAUCGGUAACACUUUACUUGACGGGUGAGUUCAUAACACUCAUUCAUAGCAGCUGUCAUAAACUGCACAUAAGAAUUCAGGACUGUUUCAUGAGACAUGACUCAACAUUCAUACCAAACCUUUCAUGAAUGUGGAAGACAGAACAACGACAACUUGUCAAAGUAAAAGUCCAAUAAUUGUAAAGCAGCAUUGCCGUUUUUGGUCUAAACCUUAGUUUAAUCUUUCUAGCCUUUGUAAAUAUUUAACGAAUAUAUUAUGAAGUCUUUAUCGAAUGUCACUUUACUAUGCAAAUUGUGACAU